UUUCUUUCUUUCUAUUAUAUACAAUAUAAUUUAUAGCACAUGAUCGUUACAAUGGUAUGAAAUUGUAAAAUACUACUAUUCAAGAAUGUCUAAAUAUUUCCAUAAAAAGCCAGAAUGACAGUUUGACAGUCGUAUCAUAUAACCAACAUACGAGGAUACAAGUGAAGCAAGUCAUAGUGCACGAAAUGCUCGACAACCAACAACCAAUCGGCAUCACGAUAAAAAGGCAACAAUACAUUCGAGAUAUUGCGAGAAUACAUAACAUGUCUAAAAAAAUUAAACAAGAUAAUAAACUGAAAUAUUCAAAAUUAGAAGAAACGGAGGAAUUAACACGCUUCAAUAAAUCGAUU